CGCUGUAUAGCGUGGGGUCGGAAGUCAAGUCUUCCCGGGCCACCAGCCUUCGCCCUUUUGGGCUAUGGCUUGGCGAGCUGGGAAAAGACGGUGACGCGGAAGUUGCCGAACCCUGGUUAAGAUCGGGGCGAUCGAGCUGAUGGGGCUGUAGCUCAGCUGGGAGAGCACCUGCUUUGCAAGCAGGGGGUCAGCGGUUCGAUCCCGCUCAGCUCCACCAAAUCGAUUGGUGUCGAGACUGACGGCAUGUUGUCUUCUGAAGAAAUAAAGGUUUUGCAUCGGCCUUUGUGCUGAUUGCGUGUUCUGCAUACAUUGUGAAGAGAAGAUUGAUCUGGAGGCUUCCAGGUGUUUUGAGCGACCGUAAGGUUGUUUGAAGCGUCCGAGCCCGGACCUGAUGAUAUCGUGGAUGGCCUAGCCGGCUGGAAACGAAGGAGGGGACGGAGGUAGGAAGGAAGCUUGUCGCUCUGGGUCGCCAGCGUAAACUGCGUAAGUGGUUUACGCGUGUUGUUUACGGUCUUUGGACUGUAUCUUGACGGCGAUCGGAUUACCGUUGCCUGACCGCGCGGUACCGGAUUUAAUCUCGAGAAGCUGGUCUUAAAGACAGGCUGCAAGCGAGCUGCUCGGCGUAGCUCCAAAAAAGCAAGCCUGUCGAACACGUCGAUGGCAUUGUUGAGUAGGCUGG
rnacentral:tRNA from 1 species